rnacentral:rRNA from 1 species
UACGGAGGGGGCUAGCGUUGUUCGGAAUUACUGGGCGUAAAGGGCGCGUAGGCGGCCUACUAAGUCAGACGUGAAAUCCCCCGGCUUAACCUGGGAACUGCGUCUGAUACUGGAAGGCUUGAGGAUGGGAGAGGGAUGUAGAAUUCCAGGUGUAGCGGUGAAAUGCGUAGAUAUCUGGAGGAAUACCGGUGGCGAAGGCGGCAUCCUGGACCAUUACUGACGCUGAGGCGCGAAAGCUAGGGGAGCAAACGGG